AACGCAUAUUGCGCUCUUUGGUAUUCCGAAGAGCAUGCUUGUUUGAGUAUCAGUAAACACCUCAACCUCCUCUUGAUUUUUCAAAAGGAGGGUGGACUUGAGCUAUCCCAACAACCUUCACCGGUAGGCGGGCGGCUUGAAAUGCAGGUGCAGCUGGACUUUUAUCUGAGCUAAAAGCAUAUCUAUUUAGUCCUCGUCAAACAGGAUUAUUACUAUUGCUGCAGCUAACAUAAAGGAUAAUUGUCCUCAUUGCUGACUGAUGCAGGAUUUUACGACACUUUAUGUGUUGUUCAACUCGAUCUCAAAUCAAGUAAGACUACCCGCUGAACUUAA
rnacentral:misc_RNA from 1 species